AUGUUGAUAGGAGCUAUGAAAUGGAGGAUGUCAAGCAACCUUGGAAGAAUGAAAUUUUUUAAGAAACGGAUGACACGGAUACUAAACUUUGCUUGAUGGAGACAAAAAAGAUCAACCAUAUUUAGGAAAGUUGAAGGAGAAUCUGCAAAAUAAUGAGAUAGCCAAGAAGUGACAAAUAAUUCUUACGAGUUUACAUGGCUAUCUAAAAUAAAUGACAUUUUUCAUUUGAAAGCCAAGAAUGCAAAAUGAAACAUUUAGUCUGACUCACUUGGAUCUGUGCCACCACCACAAGAACAUAAUCUUAAACUCAAAUUGCAGAUAAAAGAAUUGAAGUUGGUUUACAUCAUUCCGCGACAAUAAAUGUAGCGCAAUAUGGGAAGCCCCCCUGUUUUCCUUAAAUUCAUGUCGAUUUUGUGAUUUUAAAUUUGUGUUAAGUUUCUUUUAGUAUUUCUAGCCAUUCUACUAAUUUUCAUCUCAUUUGAAAUUGAAUUGCACAGGUUGAGGGGAUUGGAAGGCAUAAAAAAUGCAUAGGAAGACACUGAAGUUACUGCCAAAAGUCCCAUCUCCUCAGUCCUCUCAUCUUAAAACCGCACAACGUCAUCAGGUCUGAAAUUCCCAACUCUUCUUUAUAUUACUAUCUUUAUGAAUUGAAUAUUUUUCCUAAUCAUAACAUCUGAGCAUGCUAAAAGGAAAAUAGUUGGGGCAACUUGUUGCCCGUAAAGUGUUUGCUCAAUUGCCUAAAGGAGUCCCGCCCCUUGUUAAUGAAUUGAAUAUCAGUAAUUCUGAAUCAAUAUGGCUGAAAGCUAUCUGUUUACUGAAAUCAAUUGUACUGAGCCUUAAGAACAACUGAACUUUUUUUUUUCUUGCUUGAAAUCUUGUAGAAUGAAAUCCUUACUCCCUAUAGGUGAUAUUGUGCUUGUUUUAUUGUGAACUUUCAUGAGAAGGUACACUCUAAGAUGCGGGGGUGGUUUGGUGGAUUUUCUGAGGUGAAUUCUCUCAUUGUGUGAAUUUUCCUUUACUGAAAUUCUGAAUUACUAGACAAGAGAUGUUAGUUUUCUGUAGUAGGGAAUAGUCGGGUCUGACCACCUAGCUGUCAGAAAUAUCUGUCGGAAAUCUUGAUGGUCUGCCGUCAAAAAGGUUUGUGUUGUGCUUUUCUCUGAUGAUCCUUUUCCUGCCGAUAAUUCGUGUACUCUUUGGACAACUUUCCAACAGAUAUGUCCGUCGGAGUUUCGCGUAAUUCCGAUACAGAAGCGGAUCCAGAAUUUAAAUCUUAUGGGUUCAAUUUUAAGAUUUUUAACAUUGAACCCAUUAUAUUUUUAAAGUUAUGGGUUCAUAUCUACUAUUUUUACAAUUUUAAUGAAUUUUUACAUAUAAAUUUUUACUCCGCGUCGAAAGUUAUGGGUUCAGUUGAACCCGUAGCCACUAAGCUACAUCCGCCUCUAUUCUGAUAGUGUUGCUCAACUUAGACAAGCAGUCAGAUUUUUGUGUAAUUCCAGUAAUGUUGCUCAACUUAGACUUUAAGUUGAGUGGGAAGAAGUAUAUCCUUGAUUCUCUAUGUUAUGAAAGAUACUAAAUUAAAACGUAUUUUAAUCUGAAUAUAUUUUUUUGGCAAAUAUUUGCAACACACAAGUGUUUUGGAACUGAAGAAUUAUAAGAACUUCCUCAACAUGCAAUAAGUUGAAUUUUGAUCUUCUUUAAUCUCGCUACAACAUCUUUCAUGUCGGUCCUUCCUUCAGGAGAUUCAAUAUAACAAUCAAAGCUAAUCAAGAUCCUAACUACAGGAGACUGAUUAAAGGAACUAAGCAAAUAGAUUUUAACAAAAGGAAAAGUCGUUGCCUACACUCUGUACUUGCAUGCGUGUACCCCCCACUCAAGCCGAAAAUGAUACAUUCAUUCAAAGCUCAACAUGCAAGAAGUUGAAUCUUGAUGGUCUUUAACCUCGCUACAACAUCUUUCAUGUCAGUCCUUCCUUUAGGAGAUUCAACACAACAAUCUAUUGCCACUUUCAUGAUGGAUACCACACAAUCUAACUUUUUCAUUAAUUGAUUAUCCUGUGGCGUUAUUAAGUUGGCAUCAACAACUUCCAUUACUGCCUGUGGGGGUGAGUUGCUCACCCAUUGCUUCAAGCUAAGAUCUCCAUCAAACAUUUCAUCACUAGGCUUUGUCCUUGUAAAUGUUUCCAUCAACAUGAUUCCGUAACUAUAAACAUCGCAUUUUGUUGACACUAGUCCCUCCAGUCCAUACUCUACAAUCAGUCAAUUUUAAAUUCAGCAUUUACUGGGGGAGAAAAGAAAGAGAAAUAUUCAAAAGCAAUUAAUUAAGAGAUCACUUACCUGGUGCAAUAUAACCCAAUGUUGCUAAAGUUUUAGUGUACGAAGCACUUUCAUCUUCAGAAAGCAGUUUAGAAAUGCCAAAGUCACUUAGGUGGGCAACCAUGUCCUCGUCCAACAAGACAUUACUAGGCUUCAGAUCACAAUGGAUCACGGGAAAUGAGCAGCCAUGGUGGAGAUAUUCCAAGGCACAUGCCACAUCUAUCAUUAUAUUUAGUCUUUGCUUGAUGUCUAAGAAGUAGUUGUGCGAAUACAACCAUUUAUCGAGGCUUCCAUUAGACAUGUAGUCAAGUACCAAAGCCUUAAAUUCAAGGUUGGAACAACUAGUGAUGACUUUGGUGAGAUUCCUAUGACGAAGGUUGCGCAAAACUUGGCAUUCUGUAUCAAAACUCCUAAAUGCUGCUUGCAAUUGCAGAUUGAACACUUUAACUGCAAUAUGAGUCCCAUCUCUGAGGAUGCCUUUGUAAACAGAGCCGAAACUCCCGGAACCAAUCAAAUUGCUCUCGCUGAGUGAAUCAGUUGCUUGGAGCAAUUCAUAGUAUGAAAUUCUUUCUCUUGUUGAGACGUCAUACAAUGAAUCAACUGUUUGCUGAGGAUCAGUUCUUUUACCUCUCAUAUACCUUAUCCAUACAAGCACAAAGGCCAUAGGAACUAAUAUAACUAUUGCAAUUCCGGCCAGUAGAAGUACUUUUUUCCUCUUGGAUCUAUGCUUUGAAGUACUAGUAUGGCAUGGCGGAACACGGAAUCUUGGAGAACCACAUAAUGCUUCAUUGGACAUGAAAGACUGACUGGAGAGGUUCUUGAAAGGACCGUCAGAGGGGAUUUCACCAACCAACUUGUUGAAAGAAACGUUAAAAUACUUCAGAUUUUGAAGCUUCUCCAAAGACUUGGGAAUUAAUCCUGAAACAUUGUUAUGACUAAGGUCUAGAAAUUCCAAAGCUGACAUGCUUCUGAUCGAGUCAGAUUGAUCCUUGUAAUUUGUUGUCUCUCAAAGAUAAGUGCAUUAGAUUUUGCAAGCCACCAAUUUCUCUAGGAAUUCCAUUUGAAAAGGUAUUCAUUGAUAGAUCCAUAUAUAUCACAGCCUUUAGGUUUCCAAUUUUCGGAGGUAAAGGGCCAUCCAAGUUGCUUGAGGAUAAGUCUAGCUUCAAGAGAUUUCUGAGGUUCCCUAAGCUUGCUGGUAUGUUUGAACGCAAUUUAUUGGAACCUAGAAAUAUCUCCCGAAGGGAAAUUAAGUUCCCCAAACAAUUAGGAAGAGAUCCUGAAAGUUGAUUCUGAGUUAAGUAUAAAUAACCCAAGUUUUGCAAUUUACAUAUAUCAUCUCCAAUAAAUCCAGAAAGUUUGUUGUGACUCAAAUUAACGCUCUGAAGAAAUCUCAAGUUGCUAAUUGUUGCGGGAAUUGAUCCAAUUAUGUCGUUUUCAGAAAGAUCGAGGUCUAAUAAGCUGCUUAAGUUCCUAAUUCCUUUUGGAAUUUCCCCUUUAAUUCUGCAAUCAGCAGCGUUAAUCCUUAGAAGAGAAGUACUGGAAAGGUUCCCUAAGGAGACUGGAAGUACACCAUUUAGAGGGUUCAAAGAUAAAGAAAGAAAUUCUAAAUCUCUACAAUUUGAUAAGGAAGUCAAGAAGCUUAACGUAGAGUCGCUCACUAAAUUGUUUCCAUCCAAGAGUAGGUACUCUAGAUGAGUUAAAUAUCCAAGAGAGGUUGGAAUCAAACCGGUGAGUCUAUUUCCAGCAACAUCUAGAGUGUUGAGCUUGGAACAAUUGGAGAUAGAAUCUGGUAUAGUCCCAAAAAGAUUUAAGCGACCUAGAUAAAGACCUUCAAUGUUGGGUAACAUAGAACCUAUGUUCAAUGGGAGGGUUCCUGUCAGAUUAUUGUUUAGAAGGUCAAUCACUGUUAUCCCUGAUAUGUUGAAUAUCUCUGUUGGAAGUGAACCAGUAAACUUGUUCAAACCCAGAUCAAUUCCAUCCAACUCAAUGAGGUUGCUUACCUCUUUCGGUAUUUCACCUGCCAAUGUUUGUAUGUAUCAGUAAUUAAUGAACAACUAGUAAUAGGUGGGGAGCUAUGUGGGCCGAAGGGGUUCAGUCUUCGCUGAAAAUUAUACUGUGUAUAUAAGGUAAUUUGUUUUUAAUUCCCUUAGUUUUUUCGCGUGUUUAUUUUUCUUAUUUUAUAUCCCCUUGGUAAAAAUCCUGCUUCUGUCACUGCUAGUAAUGAUUUUACUUUGUUAGUUCAGCCAUAGCAACUGGUAAAAUUAUUGCCAUAUGACCAAGAGGUCACGGGUUCGAGCCGUUGAAACAGCCUCUUGCAGAAAUGUAGGGUAAGGCUGCGUACAAUAAACCCUUGUGGUUCGGGCCUUUCACGGACCCCGCGCAUAGCGGAAGCUUAGACCAGCCUGCCCUUUUAGUUCAGCCAUAGCAAGCUAGCUGCAGUACCUUAAUUUCCC
rnacentral:lncRNA from 1 species